UACGAAGGGGGCUAGCGUUGCUCGGAUUGACUGGGCGUAAAGGGCGCGUAGGCGGUUCGUACAGUCAGACGUGAAAUUCCUGGGCUCAACCUGGGGGCUGCGUUUGAUACGUGCGGGCUUGAGUGCGGAAGAGGGUCGUGGAAUUCCCAGUGUAGAGGUGAAACUCGUAGAUAUUGGGAAGAACACCGGUGGCGAAGGCGGCGACCUGGUCCUUUUACUGACGCUGAGGCGCGAAAGCGUGGGGAGCAAACAGG
rnacentral:rRNA from 1 species